AACUCUUUGCGGUGGAUCACUCAGCUCAUGCGUCAAUGAAGAACGCAGCCAGCUGCGAGAACUAAUGUGAAUCGCAGGACACAUUGAUCAUCAACACUUCAAACGCACAUUACGGUCCUUGGGUCCCUCCUGGGGCUACGCCUGCCUUAGAGUCG